rnacentral:rRNA from 1 species
UACAGAGGGGGCAAGCGUUGUUCGGAAUUACUGGGCGUAAAGGGCGCGUAGGCGCCUGUUAAGUCGAACGUGAAAUCCCCGGGCUCAACCCGGGAACUGCGUCCGAUACUGGCAGGCUUGAAUUCGGGAGAGGGAUGUGGAAUUCCAGGUGUAGCGGUGAAAUGCGUAGGAUAUCUGGAGGAACACCGGUGGCGAAGGCG